UGGAUGCCCUGGCAGUCAGAGGCGAUGAAGGGCGUGCUAAUCUGCGAUAAGCGCCGGUAAGGUGAUAUGAACCGUUAUAACCGGCGAUACCCGAAUGGGGAAACCCAGUGUGAUUCGUCACACUAUCAUUAACUGAAUCCAUAGGUUAAUGAGGCGAACCGGGGGAACUGAAACAUCUAAGUACCCCGAGGAAAAGAAAUCAACCGAGAUUCCCCCAGUAGCGGCGAGCGAACGGGGAGGAGCCCAGAGCCUGAAUCAGCAUGUGUGUUAGUGGAAGCGUCUGGAAAGGCGCGCGAUACAGGGUGACAGCC
rnacentral:rRNA from 1 species